GUGAUCCUUCAGCCUCAGCCUCCCAAAGCGCUGGGAUUACAGGUGUGAGCCACUGUGCCGGGCCAUGCCUUCUCCUUUGUAUGUUGAGCUAAGCAUACACACUUUAAGUAGGCAGUGAGCCAGCUCUUCACAGCCUCAUGACCUUGAACAAGUUGCAUAGCCCUCCUAAGCCCACAUUUCCCAUUUGUAAAAUGGCUAAAGUAAUACCAUCUUGAAAGACGUGAAACUCAACUGAGAAACUUAACCUCACACAGUUUGUGGCAAUAAUUCCCCAAAUAGUGUCAUCUAGAAAUAUGCUAAAACCCAACUGUAAUUACCCAGAUAUUUAUUGAACAUGCGUUAUGUGAAGAGCAUCGUUAUCAGUUGUUGCAAGGAAUGUAAAGAUGCCUAAGGCAAUUUCCAUUCUCAUGGCGCUUUCCGAUGUAGAAGAGGAGUUUUUGUUGUUAAAGGCUAGACAAAAUCUAUGUAAAAUGUCCUUUGGGUUCAGAGAAAGGAGUUACCAGAGGAAGCCUGCUGUGGUUAGGAGUGCAGGUUCUAGAGGCAGAUCACCUUCAUGCCCCAGCCCCACUCCGGGUGUUAUCCUGGGCACCCGCGCCUCAGUGUCCUUAUCUAUGAAACAGAGAGCGUUAUGGAUGCCUGCUUAGCUCAGUGUUAGGAGGAUUCCAUGAGUGAGCAUUUAGUUGAAAGUGCUCCGUAAAUGUUAGUAAUUAUCUGUUCAUUCAGCACAUAUUUAUUGAGUGCCUACUGCAUUCAAUUACCAAGAACAGCAAGUUGAGUGAGAUUUUGUAUAUGCAGUUUGGUGAAGGAAACACAAAUCAGUAAUGAGUUGCAGGGAUACAAAGUGUUGAGAGCCAUAAUGGGAGCAUAAAUAAGAUGAUGCAGGAACACCGGGAAAAGGCAUCUAAAUCAUAUUACUGAGCAGAAAAGGCCUCAGGGGAAAUAGCACGUGAACUGAGCUUCCAAGAAGUCAGGGUUAUUUAGAUCAAAGAUAGGGUGGAGGCGGGCGGCAUUCUGGGUUUCAAGAAAACAGUCCAUGAGAAGGCAUGGUGGCACACACAAGCAUCACACGUCUGGGAAGUACAGCUUUCAUGUGGCUGCAGUACACUUGGCAAUAUUUGGCGAGAAAAGGAGGAUUCUAAUCCCCAAGGGCCCUUUUUAUCCAGGGAAUAGCAUUUCAAGGUUCAGUGGAGGAGAACCCCAAGAGCACCAAAAUGGAAAGAUGAUUUGUAAAGCUGAGGAAAAUGUCCAGCUGUGUUUUUAUGAGGACUCUCACUGCACUGAUAUGACAGAUGACACCUUCCCUCAACACUGUUCAUCAUUGACUGCUGAGGGCUCCUUCUUCAGUUUAUAACAGGAUGGUAACUUCAUAAGCAAUGUAGGACUUUCACAGGGUUCCACACGAAGCGUGUCUGGAUAAUUCAGCCAAGCUCUUCAGUCUCCAGCAGUGAUGGAAUCAGGAGCUCGCUUGGCCAGCCCUCUAAUGACUCAGUCACAGGGUCAUCCACUUGGGGGUGUGAGGAGAGGAGGCUUCUCCCCGCAAGUGCUUUCGGGGUGAUGCCGUAGAUUCUUUGUACCUCAGGAGUUACUUUUGCAAUUAGAGGUUCUCUCUCUCUCUUGGUAUUUUAUGCAUCUAAUUCUGCUUUUCUAUGCAUGAGUCUUGUCGGAUUCAGGCACAGCAAUAAGUCUCCAAAAUAGGGUCAGAGUGAGUUUAAUGAAGAAGUUAUUGUUUUCUUAAGGAUGAAAAUAAACAGAGAGAAUGCCUUAUUACAUAA
rnacentral:lncRNA from 1 species